UACGUAGGGGGCUAGCGUUGUCCGGAAUCAUUGGGCGUAAAGAGCGCGUAGGCGGCCAGAUAAGUCCGGUGUGAAAGUCAAAGGCUCAACCUUUGAAUGCCGCUGGAAACUGUCUGGCUAGAGUCCGGGAGGGGCGAGUGGAAUUCCUGGUGUAGCGGUGGAAUGCGCAGAUAUCAGGAGGAACACCGAUGGCGAAGGCAGCUCGCUGGGACGGUACUGACGCUGAGGCGCGAAAGCGUGGGGAGCGAACAGG
rnacentral:rRNA from 1 species